UCUUGCUGGAAAGCAUGCCAACAGUUUCUGUAACUGGUUUCCCAUCCUCCUGGCCAAAAAAGAGAACAAUCUUGUAAUGAAAUUGCUUUUUUUUUUUUUUUUAAGAAAAUUUAAGCCGGAUAGGACUCAAAUAAAUGGCUUAUUGGGGGGAUUCUAAAGCCAGUUGUAGCCUGAGAAGCAAGUUCAAACUCCAUUUCUGAGUUUUGUGGAGUUUGUUUGGUUUUGACUGGCGAGCCAAUUCCUGAUGCGCUUACAAUAAAUACUAAUUUCCAUGCUCCUGCUGACCUAGUGUGAAAAGAGCACACAGUUCCCAAGUGAGCUCAGGAAAGCUCCCAGGACACGGAUUCACAGAAGGACUGAAGUUCUUCAAACUACAGAACCCAGGAAUGCCAUUUGGAUAGCAAAACGGCACACAGUAAAAUGUUAAGAACACCCUGAAACUGAAAGAGAAAUUAAGACCUGGAGGAGGGGGCAAAGGUACCUUUUUGAAGUUGACAUACUCAUUAAAUUAUUGACUUCUUUAUUUUUAGGUGCACAUGGAAGAGUGUCUUCUCCAAUGUCAUGAAGAAGUACCCUUUCCAGGAACUGGGCCUUUGAGCUGAAAUGGCUGCAAUCGGGGAAAACAAAAAUCAAAAAACUCUGCUUUCCAGCUCCAGCCAACGGCGACUUCUGGACUGAUAUCCGUAAAAGAAUUAAUUCAAAGGCACAGUUGUUCUCAGCAGCCCCUGAGGUCUCUCAUGAAUUCAUCCUCUUGGGGAAAGGGACACAUACCACCCAAGGAAAUGCCAAACUGGUUUUAUUGUACCCCCCUGCCCUUUAAACAAAUUAUCGGGGAUUUAAAUACACACACACACACACACACACACACAGACUCUCUAGCUGGACUGUUGUUGUUUGUUUGCAAACAGAUGCACUGGGGUCCCCUUUAAUUAGAUUCCAAGAGGCUAGAAUCUGUGUUCUGCUGGCUCUCUCUCAAAGUGCCUGGAAGGGAGCAGACCUGACGAGUAUCAUUUCUUUUGUCAAAUAAUCCCAAGUUGACCUUAAGCCUUACAAAAUAAAAUCAGAUCGCCACCCUACCUUAGAAGGAAAGCAAAAUGAUUUCCAUUAUUAACUCACCCAGGUUGCAAAUGCAGGGAAUGCGCUUUGCAGAAAUGUAAGAUGAUUCUUAUCAGCUUUUAUCCUCCCAAUGUCCCUUUUUCGGCCUUUUAAAAAGGCAGUUUGCUCGGUGAGUAGGAUUAGGUUCCUCUGUGGUCUAGAUCUUGUUCACUCUAUCAGUGGAAAUAAAGGGAGUCCAGCCCCCCUGGAAAUUACAGGCUCCAUUAGGAAGAAAAGAAAUUACUUACAGAGCAGCAAAUUCUGUAAAUUUGUAAUUCAGAUCUUAGCCCUGGCCUGAAUGCCAGUCAGGAUCCAGCCCUUUGCAUAAAUUGGUUUUCUGGGGAGCUUAACUCUUUCGCCUCUGUUUCCCUUCCCCGGAAACCUAUUCACUCAAGCCUGUCUAUCCCCUGGCCCUUUAACUAGCCAUAGCCCGUGCCUGGGUAGCAACCCGUGCAAUUUCACAGAAGUAAGGGUAAUAAUAAUAAGGCCUUACAUUAACACACUUCACAGUUUAUAGACUGCCUUUUGAAUACAUUAUCUAAUUUAAAGCUGUAUGCCCCUAACUGAACUUAAUUGCCUCCUUUGUUAUAUUUUAUUAUGAGGGGGACUGGUGUGCACCUGUAUGGCUUUUUUUUUCCCCCAAAGGCGCACUCCUUAACAAAAUGGCCUCCAGCUGGAACUCUGGCAAUGAUUGCUCAUUGCUCACGUGAUUUAUUCUCGUUAAAUCUGGCCACAGCCGGGAGUUCCAAGACCUGGCGUCCCACAGUCUCUAGCCUGGUCCUUUUCCCUGACUGCCCGACCAGGAGGCUGGGCUGAAGCAACUCUUUAAGAAUAUGUUACUCUUAAGUAACUUCUAGAAAGUGGUCAAGUUGAAUGAAGAGAACUAGAAAAAGAGGGCCAAACCGGAUGAGAAAACCAAGGCUCAGAGAGGAGAAGCAACCUUGCCCAAGGACACACAGGUAACUUUGGAGACUGGAUUAGCAUUAGAGGGAGCAGGAAACCUGAUUGGCAGUCCAUUAACCGUCGUCUAGCCAAACAGGACGUCGCCUUGGAAGGCCACUGGAGAUGGAGUAAAUCAGAGAGAUGUGGAAUCUGCUUUGGAGGCAGGGCCAGCAGGAUGAAAUAAGAAUCCAGGAUGCUGCUGCAGUCUUGGGGAGGUGCUCACGUGGAGUGUGAGGUCUCGCCGGACCCCAGGCUGGCAGGUGGCCUUUGUCUCCGUGAGUCAGAAGGGCAUCAAACCACGGCCCCGAGGUUUAACCGCGAAGCCCUGCCCCUGGCACCGAGCAGGUCCUCCCCCCCACCACCCCCUUCCCCUCUGCGUUUCAUUUUACUCGUCCAGUCCCAACAGAAGGCUCUUCAUAAGGCACCGUCGUCAGUUUAUAGUGCUUGCAGUGUUUUAACACUUUAAUGACAUGACAGCCAAUUUUAUUCUGUCCUGGAAAUUACUCUCUUCUGUUUCUGUUUCUCUCCCUCCCUCUCUCUCUUCUCCUCUUCCUCCCGUCUCACUGUUCCUGCGAUUAUUUCUUUUGGAAAUAAUUCCUCUCACACUCUGCCUCCAUAAAUCUCUGAAUCCCGGCAGAUGGAACAAGGCUGCUAUUACGAGGGAACAGAAUCAACAGGGAAGCGGCAAGCGGGAGGCAAGCUUUAUGCUCUGUGGUUUCGUCCCAGUAGGAGGACGUGAUGGCACCUCCAGGACAAAAGGUUCAUCUUUUCAACUACUUUGACUUCUCAGGAGCCCCCCAGCCCUGUGGUCUUUUCAUGAGAGAACUGUUUUCACCUCCUUGGCUCUGCACAUGUUUUCUACAUAAUAUUAAACAGUAACCUUUGAGUCCCCACAUACUGGACGCACAGACCACAGUACACACAGACACACACACAGACACGCACACACACACUCUGGCAAAGAUAAAACAACUUUUAACUUAAUUUGGCUCUUCCUUUUUUUUCUUUAACACCUUGAGAUAUAAUUUACAUGCUGUAAAAUUCACCCAUUUUUAGCCAUGUAGUUCGAUGUUUUUCUUAUUUACCGAGUUGUAUACUGGCUGUUUCUUUUUGAAAAUGGAGCCCGUGGGUGAACAUUUUGACCCCACGUGCUCCCUCCUCACUUUGAAAGGUGACAUCUAAAGUGCAGAGAGCAACUUCUGUUUCACCCCCAAAAUAGUUGUUUUAUUCAUUCUGCCAUUUACAACUUACUUCCUGUGUUUUGAUUCUGAGCUGCUCAGACCUGCUUCUUAGAAGCCAGGUGGAUUCAUUUUUUACACUGUCACGAAGUUUCUCUUGUGUUAGAGGAAUUUUCUGUUUGCUUGUUUGUUUUGUUAGUGUUUAGUGAGUCUUCAGAUCUUUGUUUCAUCUGCUGGGCUAAUUAGAGAGACUUGAAAUGUAUCUUUGUGACACGAGAGACUAUAUAGAAAUAUUUGGUAUUUAAAGCUCAGCUCAAACGGUCACAGCAUUCUGACUGCUGAGAUUGGUAAAAAGAAAAAAAAAUGAAGUUACCAAGAAAUAGAAAUAGGGCAUGGAGGCCUAGAACUUUUUCCUAAUAUUACAUCUUCAUCUAUAGUUCGGUCUUGAUAUCUGAGUCUUUCUCAUUUGAAAAGCAGAAAUGAAAAUAAUCACUUUAGGAGAUCUGCCUGAGGACUGCAUGAGCUAAUUCACGUGAAAACACCUAGAAUGCUAACCAUUUUUAAAAAUUUAUACAUGUUCAUUGGAUACAAAUCCUAAGGAACUUCACCAAUGGCAUAAGGAUCGUGUUUUGGCCACGACACGGUACAUUAAUAAAAGCAUAGCACCUGCUGUUGAAGACUGUGUACCAGUUUAACCAAUUGUUCAACGAACAGGUAAUGAGGCUUGCUGUGUGCCAGGCACCGGGGAUAGAAUGGUGGACAGGCAGGUACAGUUGGAUGGAAGAGAGAUGUUCAACACAUAGUUGAGCAAAUAAGUAUCUAAGUACAAACUGUGCAAGGGUUAAAGAAACCAUUCUGGUAUGUGUGUAUGCAUGUGUGUGUGCGCAUUUAAAGCAAUUUAAGGUGUAUUUUGCUAGUAAAUGUAUACCUAUGGGCAUAGAGAAAUUUUCUGGAACAACUCAUGAGAAAUUGGUUACAAGUGUUUCUUUUUGUACAUAGAUAGGGGAAUGUCUUCUACUUUUUAUUCUGUAACUUUUCUAUGCAAUUUCAAGUUUCUAACUAUAAGCAUGUACUUUUGUUUAGCUGUUUAAAUAUCAGUAGGCUUCUCUGAUCAGUAGGCUGGGAGUCCAUUAUUAUUUUCUUCAUUAGACUUCUAUUAAAAAACAACCUGUUAUUUAAAAUGAACAAAUGAUUAACCGCUUGCAAUAUUUAACUUGUCAUGCCAAUUAAAUAUUAAAUAUUACACUUGAGAAGACAAAGGUCAUUUACAAGAGUGCAAGACUGCAUCAACCCACACUAAAUUGUUACCACCUGCUCGCGCCCCCAGUUUGCCCAGACAGCACUUUCAUUCAACAGAUAUUUACUGAGCGCCUACUGUGUACUAGGUAGGCAUUGUUCUGAGCACUACUAGAUAAAACAAAGCCAUCAGGGAGUCAGGCUAGAUUCUAGUUGGAGGAAACAGACAAAUAAGUAAACCAAAUACAUAUUUAUAUAUAAUAUGUGCUAUAAAAAAUUAAAGCAGGGCUGGCGGGCAAGUGACGGAUGGUGCCCUCUGUUCAUCAUAUAGAAUACACUCUGUAGUUGUAUCACUGGAAAGAAAGACUGGGAGGCCUGAGAAGGUGCCAUUUCAGCCUGGAUGAGGGAAGGAGGGAAUGAGCCAUGCAGAUAAAUGACUGCCAAAAGGACCAGUAAAGGCUCUGAAAUGGGAAAGCUGGAAACCAGCAAAUCUUGGCAUCAUAAGGAAAAGGAUCCUGAGAUGCGUUGUUUCCCGUCUACUCUGAGAUGCUUCCCAGCAGGAGGGGCACAACGAUAGGAUUCUGUGGGUGGGUUGCCCUAUAACAGCGGUUCUCAACCCGAGGCGAUCCGAACGCCCUCCCCACCCCCCUUCUAGGGGACACGUGGCAGCUACAGGAGCCGAGGUUACCUGUCAUGACUGUGGGGGGUGCCGCCAGCAUCUGGGGUCUAGGCCCAGGAAGCUGGUAGACACCCCACAACGCACAGGACAGCCCCCUGCAACGCAGAAUGACCCAGUCCAAAUGUCAACAGUGCCGAAAAUGAGAAUCUCCGGUCUAGAGAAACUGGAAAAGAUGGAGAAGGGAGGAAAUGAAUGGAGGGCACUGCCUACUUAUGUCCAGCUGGUAUUUUCCCACCUAAGAAACAACACAGCAACUUUGGUCUUUUUUGAUGCUGAUUCUCCUCUAUUGAUUACGCUUUAUUAUUCCUGAAGACUUGGGUGUGUGACUUAAAUAACCCCACGUUAGACACAAGCACAACAGAAUAAAUGAAAACUGGAGGGCAAAUUCUAACAUGUACCAUAACUAUAAGAACAUUCUUUCUAAGGCUUGAAAAAGUCUUCAGAUCCUUGGUUUAAUUUAAUCGACAAUGCGUUCAUCUGCAUAUGGCAUUCAGCAGCAAAAUAAACUUUUUUUCCUGCGUCUUUUGUUUCCGAAUCAAUGGGGAACAAAGGAUAUCCCGGUUCCAUUCAGGCAGUUUCAAUGAUUCUCAAACGUGGGAGUAGUAGUCGAGCCAUUUAAAAUACAGUGAUGAGAAAGCAUACUUAGUAACCUUGUAAACAUGCUAUGAAAGUACAAGGGAACCUUUAAGAAGGAUAUCCAAAUGUCCUUUUUAUAUAAUAGCCCUUUGUACUAUGAAAUGUUCAGAGGUCCAUAAAAUGGAAUUGAACAGAACAGACUAGAAGAGUGCAAUUUCCAAGUUUUCUAGUAAUGGUGCUGUUAAAACAUUAUUUUUGUUUCUUAACACUCAGAAAAUUAAGUUUCCUCACCCCAGGAUCAGCCCUACUCACAGAAAGGACUUUGGACCCAUAUUUAACCAACCGUCAGAAGGGAUUCAAAAGGAGGCUAAUUGAACACUGAGGUUUUUGAAGCUCUCAAACGAUGACCCAAGUGUUUUCUUGAAAACAGCAGCAGCUUGGCAGGAAGCAGGAAUUAGACAAGAGAAUUGAUGGAAACCUGCCCUCCAAAUGGGAAGAAAAACUUCCAAUAACAAACUGUGAGGUUUGAAAUCACUGCGUGUUAUAUAUUCAUUAUUCAAAUGGCCACCGCCCUUAUUGCCUGGCAUUUUCUCCUGCUUCUGAGCUGCCCCAAGAAACGCACUUUAGUAAGGAUGAUCCCCCCUGUCUGAGGAAAGGGAAACCCCUCUUUGUCUCCCCAUUCUGCCCCCCGCUUCUAUCUGCAUUCUCGCUCUGUUCUAGCUGCAUGUUUUGCA